rnacentral:lncRNA from 1 species
AACUUUCCACAUUGACCAAACGCACAAUAAUCAUAGAACAGUCUUAUUGCUUUACUCACAUAUGCAUCACAUAACGACCUUGUGAUUUAGUCCAAAUCAAGCUUAAAUAUAAUCUCAAAAUACAUACCUGACCAGCUUAACGCAUUGAACGUAUUUAUUACCAAUCGUUAUUGUGAAGUCGUAUAAUCUUAUGCUUUACCCGAAUCUUCAGCGAAACCUUUAGCUCGAAUAGUCCCCACACGUAGUUAUCGGGUCUUACCCGGACAAAAUCUCCACACGUAGUCAUCGGGUCUUACCCGGACAUAAUCUCCACACGUAGUCAUCGGGUCUUACCCGGACAUAAUCUCCACACGUAGUCAUCGAGUCUUACCCAGAAUAUAUUUCCAAGUUUCAUGUACAUUUAUUCACAUGUUACAACAUUCACAUCGACUGUCAUAUUUGUAAUUCAUUUGCCUCAUCAAAUAUCUAAUAAUACACACCUUUCACAUUUGGUCAUUCGACCACAAUAUACACACAUCUCCUACAUAUUUCACACUAGCCGAAUCACUAGCCAUUCGGCUUUACCACAUAUACAUAUCUCAUACAUAUUUCGCAUUAGUCAUUCGGCUUUACCACGUAUACAUAUCUCAUACAUAUUUCACACUAGCCAUUCGGCU